GACGAACGCUGGCGGCGUGCCUAAUACAUGCAAGUCGAACGAGAGCGACCGGUGCUUGCACUGUUCAAUCUAGUGGCGCACGGGUGAGUAACACGUGGGUAACCUGCCCAUCAGAGGGGGAUAACAUCCGGAAACGGAUGCUAACACCGCAUAGGUCUUCGAACCGCAUGGUUUGAAGAGGAAAAGAGGCGCAAGCUUCUGCUGAUGGAUGGACCCGCGGUGCAUUAGCUGGUUGGUGUGGUAACGGCUCACCAAGGCCGUGAUGCAUAGCCGACCUGUGGGGGUGAUCGGCCACAUUGGAACGGAGACACGGCCCAAACUCCUACGGGAGGCAGCAGUAGGGAAUCUGCCGCAAUGGACGCAAGUCUGACGGAGCAACGCCGCGUGAGUGAAGAAGGUGUUCGGAUCGUAAAACUCUGUUGUUAGAGAAGAACAAGUGCUAGAGUAACUGUUAGCGCCUUGACGGUAUCUAACCAGAAAGCAACGGCUAACUACGUG
rnacentral:rRNA from 1 species